rnacentral:lncRNA from 1 species
CUUGGCAUUAGGGUGAGGAUAGAGAAUAAAGAGUUCAAAGCCAGAAAUAAAGAAGGAUGAGGAUCAGUCGGGAUAAGACAACAUAACAAAGCAAAACUAAUAAUCAGUUGGAUAGAGUUCGGAGCUAGCUAAGUAGGACAAAGACCGUAAUAGUCAAGAAGAUUUCAGAUGAACUCCGAAAUCAAAAAUCAAAGACCAGUUCGAAGGUCCUCGACAUAGAAUGUAAUCUGGUCUGAAGGAAGAGAGUUCAGUCGACCAUCCAGACCACGAGCGGAAAGCUGAUAUUGCUCUGGGAUACAGUAUUGUUCCCAAAGUUGUUCAACAUUGGGCCCAA